GCAUAAGAGGAAGAAGGUUAAAUUG
rnacentral:piRNA from 1 species